UUUUUUUGGGGGGGGAAAAAAAACACCCCGGGGUUUCCUUUAAGGGGGGGAAAAAAACCCGGAGGGGUUCCAAGGGAAAACCCAAAGGGGGGGUAAAAAUAGCCUUCCGAAAACCUUUUGGAAAGGAGGCCCCCAGGGGGGGAAAUUUCCCGGGGGGGGGGUUAAGAAAAAGGUUUGUCCGCUUUGGAUUCCCAUUUGAAGGGGAGGUGGAAAUUUUUAAAGGUAAAUACAGACGGAUUCCGAAUAGAGAAGGAAGUAGUGCGAACGAAAGUUGAAAAGAUUUCAUCUAGAGAAUUGAAAAGUGAAAGUAUUAGGGCGUAAGCUGAUGACAUCAGACCCGUAUUGAAACACGGACCAAGGAGACUUUGAGUAUAGCGAGGCGAAGGAUGUGAAGUCCCCACCCGCGAGAAAUCUACAAGUUAUACUGAUAGGACCCGAAAGGCAGUGAACUAUACCUGCUCUGCUUGACGCCACGGCAAACCGUGGUUGAGGAGCUAAGUCGUAUUGAUGUUCAACUCAUUGACAGGAAGUGGGUAUAGGGGCGAAAGACCAAUCGAACUGCCUGGUAGCUGGUUCCGGCCGAAAUGUCUCUCAGGACAGCGGUGUCUGCGAAUAGGAAGAUGCGGUAGAGAGGAUGUCGACCUUGUCAACAAACUCCGAAUGCGUCAUUGUGUUGCGAUUGCAUCCAACAUGAUCAUCUAUAAGACACUAGUGGGCGCCUUGUGGUAAGCAUGCGGCGCAAAAAGGGAUGAACCUAGCAGUGGGGUAAGGUGCCUAAAGGAAAACAAAGAGAAAAAGCGUUUGGCAGAUUAGGACAGUGGGGCGGUGGCCAUGGAGGUCGGCAUCCGCUAAGAAACGUGUUACAACGUACCCACCGAAUCUGCGAAUGCUGAAAAUGGAUGGCGCUUAUUUCCAUACCGAGCCCCACAUGGUACAGCCACGUAGGCCGGCACGUGUGCAUCUGAGAAGACCCGCCGUGAGGUGUGUUGGAGAUGUUCACGGAGCAGAUCUUGGAAGUAGUAGCAUCAUUUGUAUGUGCCAAUGGAGGCGGGUUUGUCCUUUUAAUAGAAGGAAGUGAUACGAGCCUAGUAAAAGGGAAUAUAGUAGAUAUUCUAUAUAGAUGUACCUAUGUGGCGACACGACAGCGACCCCAACGACGUGUGCCGGUGAGAAUUUUCCGGGACACCCAGAUCUUAUGAGCGUCACGCUGAGACUAAGAACGAGUUGGGCGGUGAAAAUGAAGGAACAUCCUCGUACCGAACCGCAACAGGACUCCUAGGUGAGAAGCCUAAGGCAUAAU
rnacentral:ncRNA from 1 species